rnacentral:rRNA from 1 species
GGGCAUGGCGGCAGGCUACCAUGCAAGUCGAACGGUAGCACAGAGAGCUUGCUCUCGGGUGACGAGUGGCGGACGGGUGAGUAAUGUCUGGGAAACUGCCUGAUGGAGGGGGAUAACUACUGGAAACGGUAGCUAAUACCGCAUAACGUCGCAAGACCAAAGAGGGGGACCUUCGGGCCUCUUGCCAUCAGAUGUGCCCAGAUGGGAUUAGCUAGUAGGUGGGGUAACGGCUCACCUAGGCGACGAUCCCUAGCUGGUCUGAGAGGAUGACCAGCCACACUGGAACUGAGACACGGUCCAGACUCCUACGGGAGGCAGCAGUGGGGAAUAUUGCACAAUGGGCGCAAGCCUGAUGCAGCCAUGCCGCGUGUAUGAAGAAGGCCUUCGGGUUGUAAAGUA